CAAGUCGAACGGUAACGCGGACUUCGGUCUGGCGACGAGUGGCGAACGGGUGAGUAAUGCAUCGGAACGUAUCCAUUUGGUGGGGGAUACGCCCGGACGAAAGCCGGAUUAAUACCGCAUAAUCUCUGAGGAGGAAGUGGGGACCUUCGGGCCUUACGCUGAUGGAGCGGCUGAUGUCGGAUUAGCUAGUUGGUAGGGUAAAGGCCUACCAAGGCGACGAUCCGUAGCUGGUCUGAGAGGACGACCAGCCACACUGGAACUGAGACACGGUCCAGACUCC
rnacentral:rRNA from 1 species